CCUACGGGAGGCAGCAGUGAGGAAUAUUGGUCAAUGGGCGGAAGCCUGAACCAGCCAAGUCGCGUGAGGGAUUAAGGCCCUGCGGGUCGUAAACCUCUUUUGCCGGGGAGCAGAGGUCCGGACGUGUCCGGGCCGGGAGAGUACCCGGAUAACAAGCAUCGGCUAACUCCGUGCCAGCAGCCGCGGUAAUACGGAGGAGGCGAGCGUUAUCCGGAUUUAUUGGGUUUAAAGGGUGCGUAGGCGGGCAUUUAAGCCGGCGGUCAAAUGUCGGGGCUCAACCCCGGCCUGCCGUCGGAACUGGGUGCCUUGAGUGGGCGAGAAGUAGGCGGAAUGCGUGGUGUAGCGGUGAAAUGCAUAGAUAUCACGCAGAACCCCGAUUGCGAAGGCAGCAUACCGGCGCCCUACUGACGCUGAGGCACGAAAGUGCGGGUAUCGAACAGGAUUAGAUACCCUAGUAGUC
rnacentral:rRNA from 1 species